AUGGCUCUCAAACCAUGUCUUGAGGCCCCAAUUGAGUCUGGGCUCUGUUCAGGGAUUGAAUGUCAUGCUGAGCACCCAACACUAGUUCUGAUGCUCUUUGCCAGUGUGCUGGUGACUUGCCUUGAGGCUGCUAAACUCACCGUAGGCUUCCAGACCCCCUGGAACAUCUCCCAUCCAUUCAGCAUGCAAAGGCUGGGUGCAGGCCUCCAGAUUGCCAUGGACAAGGUCAACUCAGAGCUAGUGGACCUUGGAAAUUUCACCACUUACACCAACUCAGCCUGCAGCACCAAGGAGUCUCUUGCUAUUUUCAACAACCAGGUCCAGAACGAACAGAUUUCUGCCCUGUUUGGACCAGCAUGCCCAGAAGCAGCUGAGGUUAUCGGCUUGCUGGCCUCUGAGUGGAACACCCCAUGUUUGACUUUGUUGGACAAACCACAAAACUGUCUGACACCUGUGUGAAACUUGUGUCACCCAAGCAGGACAUUGGUGAUGUGCUCCAGGAAAGUCUCCAGUACCUGGGCUGGAAACACAUUGGGAUGUUUGGAGGCUACUCUGGGGCUUCCUCCUGGGAUGGAGUGGAUGAACUGUGGAGGGUUGUAGAGAAUGAACUCAAAUCCCAUUUUAUCAUCACUGCCAGCAUGAGAUACACCAACAAUAGUCUAGUCCUUCUUCAAGAGCAUCUUUGGAGGAUAUCAUCAAUUGCCAGGGUUAUCAUCUUAACGUGCAGCUCAGAGGAUGCAAAAAUUAUUCUUCUGGCUGCAGCAAACCUGGGACUCAGCACUGGAGAAUUUGUUUUCAUCAUUUUGCAGCAGUUGGAGGACCGUUUUUGGAAGGAAGUACUGACAAAUCAGAAAAUGAUGCACCUCCAAAAGGUGUAUGGGUCACUGCUUCUCAUUGCCCUCAGCUCCUACAGAAAAGGCCGUGGAGACGAAGGCUUUUGGAAACAAGUCUACCAAACACCGAGGAGGUCGCCCUUCCGCAGCACCAUCUCCUGGGAGGAGCAGGUGAGCCCUUACUCUGCCUACCUUCACGACGCCGUCCUGCUCUAUGCUGAGACCGUGAAGCAGGUGGUAAAGGCUGGAGGCGACUUCCAGGAUGGGUGGCAGCUGGUCAGCGCUCUGAAGGGUUCCAGUCAGACCACAGUGCAGGACCCACAGGGAAUUUCUCCAAUAUGACCUGGCCGCAUGGCUCCCUUCCUGAAGACAGACCUGGCUGUGGAUUUUAUAAUGAGCUCUGUGAAACUCAGUCUGCUUUUACGGGCGUGACUGCUGUGCUUCUGACAUUGAUGAUCCUCAUUCCUGUCUUGGGAGCUGCCAUCAUAGGUCUGAUUUUAAGGAUGCAGAGGCAAAACAAAGACAUCUGGUGGCAAAUCAAUUUUGAUGAUAUCACCAUUCUUCCCCAGAACAAGGGACUUGACCAUUAACUACAGGCCAAGCAUCAUACAAGCCAUCCCAGAGAGCCACACCUGUGUCAAAAGGCAUCAACAGUAACUCAUCUAGUGUGAUGAUUUCUGUGGACCUCAGCUCUUUUGUCAAGAGCCAGCAGUGGGAAGAGCUCUUCUAUGCCGCAGUAGGGCUUUAUCAGGGAAACCAUGUGGCCAUCCGUUACGUUGGUGACCAAGCAGAAGCCUGGGUUAGGAAGCCGAUUGUGCUACAGGAAAUACAGCUGGGCAUGCUGUUCCUCCACAGGAGCCCCCUGGGCUCCCACAGCAACCUGAAACCUUCCAACUGCCUGAUGGAUGGUCGGCUGCAGGUGAAGCUGUCGUGAUUCGGGCUGUGGGAACUCAAGCAUGGCUAAAAAUACAGAACAUAUGAUGAGACAGUGACCAACCACUCAGAGCUCUACUGGACUGCCCCAGAGCUGCUGCAGUUCCCGGAGAUGCCCUGGUCGGGUACCCCGCAAGGAGAUGUUUACAGCUUCGCCAUUCUGAUGAGGGAGCUGAUCUACCAUUGGGACCACGGGCCUUUUGAUGACCUCCACGAGGCACCGGAUGAAAUCAUCAACCAAAUCAAAGACCCUGCAGCAGCAGUCCCACUGCAACCUUCCCUGCCCGAGGAGAAGGGCAAUGAAAAGAUCGUGGCCAUGGUGAGGGUGUGUUGGGAUGAAUCUCUGGAGAAAAGACCCAGUUUCUCUUCCAUCAAGAAAACUUUACGAGAGGCCAGUCCCAGAGGUCAUGUGAGCAUACUGGCCAGUGUGAUGAGCAAGCUGGAAGUGUAUGCCAAUUACCUGGAGGAAGUGGUGCAAGAGAGGACCAGCCAGCUGACUGCAGAGAAGAGGAAGGUGGAGAAGCUUCUGUCCACCAAAGUGCCCAGCUUCACUGGAGAACAACUACUAGCCGGAAGGUCCGUGGAACCAGAACAUUUCGAAUCUGUGACAAUCUUUUUAUCUGAUAUUGUUGGAUUCACAAAGCUGUGUUCUCUCAGCUCCCCUUUGCAAGUCGUCAAGCUCCUCAAUGACGUGUACAGUUUAUUCGAUCACAUCAUCACAACUUAUGAUGUUUAUAAGGUUGAGACCAUUGGAGAUGCAUACAUGGUGGCUAGUGGACUCCCUACCACAAUGGAAGCCAGCAUGUGGCUGAGAUUGCCACCAUGUCCCUGCACUUCCUCAGUGCCACCAUCUGCUUCCAAAUUGGGCACAUGCCCCAGGAGAAGCUCCAGCUUCGUAUUGGCCUCUACACAGGUCCUGUGGUGGCUGGUGUGCUGGGGAUUACCAUGUCCAGAUACUGUCUAUUUGGAGACACUGUCAACAUGGCAUCCAGAAUGGAGAGCAGCAGUUCACCUCUCCGGAUUCAUGUCUCUCAGAGCACUGCAAGCACCCUGGUGGCAUUGGGAGGGUACGAUUUGCUAAAGAGAGGCACCAUUCCAGUCAAGGGCAAAGGAGAGCAAACAACUUUCUGGUUGAAAGAUAAAGAAGGCUUCACUCUUCCACUCCCGAAUUUACUGAGGAAAAAGCCAAAGUCCCAGAGAUAUUGUGA